GGUCUGAUGAAGACUCUGAAGAAAAACAAGACAGUGAAAAACCAGUUGUAUAGCAAAUAUGAAGAAGCAGGAAGAAAAUCUCUGUGGGAAGUUGGUGGGGUUUGGAAACUGGCAACAGAGUCUGUGGCUGACUUGCUGGUGGAGCUGCUGGUGGGAGAAUUUACUCAUUAGGAAGUGAAGGGAACGGUUCCUGUGUACUGUAAUACCUCACAAAGAUGUACCUUGUUGACAUAUGUAUAUUAGGUUGCCUCCCAGGUGGUAUGAAAAUAUUUGUCCAUGAUGUAUUUUAUUAUUCAGUGAUUCCUGAAGUUGAUCUUCUAAUGACUAGGUAAUUACUGGAAAGUGUUGUCUUGUGUACCUAAUCAAGAGACUGGUAAUAUAAUGAAGUAAAACUUCUCUGUGGUGGAAGUAUAUUUAAUGAUUGUCGGGCCUCACUAGGUAAAAUUAUUUUACGUUAUUGCAAAUUUGCCAUUAGUUUUACGUUUACUUUUUUUAACUCCAUGCGUUUUCUUUUUUAAUGGAUAUGUUCACUUUCUAAAAUAAAAAUGUAAAACCGUG